UACGUAGGGUGCAAGCGUUAAUCGGAAUUACUGGGCGUAAAGCGUGCGCAGGCGGUUUGGUAAGACAGAUGUGAAAUCCCCGGGCUCAACCUGGGAAUUGCAUUUGUGACUGCCCGACUAGAGUGUGUCAGAGGGGGUAGAAUUCCACGUGUAGCAGUGAAAUGCGUAGAGAUGUGGAGGAAUACCGAUGGCGAAGGCAGCCCCCUGGGAUAACACUGACGCUCAUGCA
rnacentral:rRNA from 1 species